rnacentral:misc_RNA from 1 species
GAAUUGAAUAUGUUAGCGGACCUCUUCGGAGUCCCUAGCAUCAAAUCAUAUCCAUAACACCUGUGAACUGUAAGGCUGUCUUGAAAACGAAAGUGAUUAGAGCGCCUGCCCAUUUUAUACAAACAUUAAAGUAACAAACGUAGUCUUAUUAUAAUCUAAUAAAACUUUCAACAACGGAUCUCUUGGCUCU